rnacentral:rRNA from 1 species
AGUGAACGCUGGCGGUAGGCCUAACACAUGCAAGUCGAACGGCAGCACAGUAAGAGCUUGCUCUUACGGGUGGCGAGUGGCGGACGGGUGGGGAAUACAUCGGAAUCUUCUUUUUCGUGGGGGAUAUCGUAGGGAAACUUACGCUACUACCGCAUACGACCUACGGGUGAAAGCAGGGGAUCUUCGGAACUUGCGCGAUUGAAUGAGCCGAUGUCGGAUUAGCUAGUUGGCGGGGUAAAGGCCCACCAAGGCGACGAUCCGUAGCUGGUCUGAGAGGAUGAUCAGCCACACUGGAACUGAGACACGGUCCAGACUCCUACGGGAGGCAGCAGUGGGGAAUAUUGGACAAUGGGCGCAAGCCUGAUCCAGCCAUACCGCGUGGGUGAAGAAGGCCUUCGGGUUGUAAAGCCCUUUUGUUGGGAAAGAAAAGCAGCAGGUGAAUACCCCGCUGUUCUGACGGUACCCAAAGAAUAAGCACCGGCUAACUUCGUG